UGCUAUUCCCCAAUCUGCGAGUGAGUGCUUUUGCUCUGAUAAAAAAAAGGAAAAAAAAAAUGGAAUUUAUUGUUGAAGAAGGCAAGAAACCUCAUGACCAGUGCUCCACUCUCCUUCUGCCAGCUUUAUCGAUUGGGAAUGUGGGGCAAUUGGCAAUGGAUCUUAUGGUAUCGUCAACAAGAGCAGAAAGAAUUGGGUUUUUCGAUGACCCUUUUCUUCUUCCUUGUGUAGGAAACGAUGCCUAUGGUCCUCAACCUCAAGGCCAACUAGCUCUUCCUCUUGAAGCUUAUGAUUCCCCCUCUAAUGCACUGACACUCGUCCAACAAAGGUCUCCGGUUGUUAAGGGGAAGAUGGUUGAAUUUGCUAAAAACUUGGCUGAUUUUGCUGCUGCUACUGGAAAGAAACAUGCCAUUGUGCUCUCUAGCUUAGAUUUUGGGAGGUGUCGAAAUAUUGAUAUGUCAAGUGGUUUGCAGACAUACUACUUGUCUAGCACCAAUUCUGAUGGAACAGAUGAUUACUGCGAGCAACUUGGGUGGAAAAGACUGCAGGAAUACAACCCUACUCAGAGAUGUUGGAAAUAUCUCAGCACUUUAGCUGAAGGAAAUGCCUUGCAGGAUGACAACCCUUUUGAAGAUGAAUUAGAAGAAGAAGAUUACUACCCAAGCUUGCCCUUUGCUGCACUUUUUUCUUGUUUUAAGCUGUCUGGUUUUUUCAAAGGUGAAGGCGACCUUAAGGUGCUAGGGCCUUGUAUUACCCAAGGCGUUAGGAGACAAAAAGACGCUAGCCCGAGUAAAGCAAGGCCAAAGGUUUAAAAGUCACCUGCUUAUUAUGCUACUGCUCAGAAGGGGACAACAUACAGGAUGCUUUCCAUUUGGCUGAGGCAGCAUGCAAACUUCUGGGUCUUAGUCCCAGUAAUUUCCACGGCAAUGAGGGUAAUGGAUGGCUCAUUCCAUAUUCGUGGAAGAGUGUGUAUGGACCACCUCCAGAUAUGUCUAUCUUCUAGGCUGUAUUGACCUGAGAUUGGAUCUGCAAGAACAAGAGUACUCCUUGAAUUCUCAUUGUUGUUUCAUCAAAGGGUGCGAAAAUCAAACAGUGCAUCCAUUGUAUCUUGCAUAUGUAAACGUUAGGUUCCAUUUUUUAGCAAUGGAUUAGUCAAUAUAGAAUCAAUGAUUUGAAUAUCGUUUUCCA